UAUACGGAGGCUUUCGAGGGGGCCCCUUUGAAUGACCGUAAUGAAGAUUCUCCUGCGUGCCGUUAUAUUCCACAUCUUCAUUGGCAGCCUUUAUGGCUACACCCAGAAACUGACUGCUGGCAGAGGAACUUUGGGAGAACUUAUCAAAGCACUCAACACCACAGAACCAAUCUGGUUGAUUAAACGCACCUACGAAAUCAAGGGUCAUACAUGCGUCUAUUCGCAAAGGCUAGCAUUUUACGUGAAAAAUAAUACUUAUGACUUUAUGCAAUAUUACAUGGAAAAUGGCACGCUGAAGCACCAACGUUUACGGGCAAUUCUUUCUAUGGAAAAUGACAAUACUCAAGGUGCUGCGAUGACAGUUAGCGAUCCGGCAG